GCGUUCUUCUCGUGGACGAGCUGGAUCCAGCAUUCGAUCAUGUCGGGGGAGCUUUCCAUCUCUGGAAGCGGAAAAUAUCAUUUCAUAUCAAUGAAGAAAGAUGAUAUGAUAUACAGUAUAUUACACAGUCGCUUUCUCAGAGUCCUCCGCCUUCGGGCUGCGCCAGUCACCUGAACCUGAAGGAAGUGCUUCGACCCGUUUAACCGAAUGUGGAAGUUGGCUGAGCAGGACUGCGCAUGUAAAAAGUCUCGCGUCAGGCUUUUGAGGAUCACUGUGCUAGAAUCGACAAGAACAUGACAGACACGAGUGUGUCACGCUCACCUGAGCUUGGCGCAGUCGCUGUAACUCGCUCAUCUUGGCUCGCCGCUCCAGCGUCCUCAUCUUCAUCACUUCCAACUUCUCCGCCUCGGCCGGGUUGGCCGCUAG